GCCCUCUUAGCUCAGUCGGUAGAGCGCGGUCUUGGUAAGACCGAGGUCGGCGGUUCGAUCCCGCCAGUGGGCU
rnacentral:tRNA from 1 species